AGAGUUUGAUCCUGGCUCAGAUUGAACGCUGGCGGCAGGCCUAACACAUGCAAGUCGAGCGGAUGAUGGGAGCUUGCUCCCGGAUUCAGCGGCGGACGGGUGAGUAAUGCCUAGGAAUCUGCCUGGUAGUGGGGGACAACGUUUCGAAAGGAACGCUAAUACCGCAUACGUCCUACGGGAGAAAGCAGGGGACCUUCGGGCCUUGCGCUAUCAGAUGAGCCUAGGUCGGAUUAGCUAGUUGGUGGGGUAAAGGCCUACCAAGGCGACGAUCCGUAACUGGUCUGAGAGGAUGAUCAGUCACACUGGAACUGAGACACGGUCCAGACUCCUACGGGAGGCAGCAGUGGGGAAUAUUGGACAAUGGGCGAAAGCCUGAUCCAGCCAUGCCGCGUGUGUGAAGAAGGUCUUCGGAUUGUAAAGCACUUUAAGUGGGGAGGAAGGGCAGUAAGUUAAUACCUUGCUGUUUUGACGUUACCAACAGAAUAAGCACCGGCUAACUUCGUGCCAGCAGCCGCGGUAAUACGAAGGGUGCAAGCGUUAAUCGGAAUUACUGGGCGUAAAGCGCGCGUANGUGGUUUGGUAAGAUGGAUGUGAAAUCCCCGGGCUCAACCUGGGAACUGCAUCCAUAACUGCCUGAC
rnacentral:rRNA from 1 species